GUAGCGAGUAAAAAAGACAAAACAAAAGAUCGCUUUCUCUUCAAGCGAAGCUACGCAGCUCAUUUGCAAAGGCAAAAAUGGCGCAAGGAAAACUCAAGGUGAAAACUUCGAAAGCCCGUAAAUGCAAAACGUCCAACUGCCCAGGCCAAUCUGCGGGGCGUUUCGAAGUCUCGCACUGGGCCUAAAAAAGCCAAAGCUAUCACGGCGAAACAGCAAGUCAAAGUGGCUUUGGAGAAAACGAUCCGGAAGAACAUCGAGCAAGAACUUCGUUCGCGGGCCACGAGCGAGGGCAAGCCAGUUCGCGACCACUGCGGGUGCCACCCCAAGGCAGCUCCGCAGCCGGAAAGAAGAAACGCGGGAAGAAGGGAAAGAAAUAAAAGCGGGCCUACAGGCUUUCGGUCACGGGGUGCAUGCACCAAAAGCUG